rnacentral:lncRNA from 7 species
AAACUCAACGGACAUGCACGCAAAAGGUACAGAACGUUUCGUUGCUGUGCAGCCCCUGUUUGCAGACACGCACGCCGUGAGAGCAGGACGUGAGUGCAAAUGAUGGCCUGCCUUUGCUGCCUCCCAGCUGUAUGUCUGAUAGAGAAUGAGAAACCUACUGGUUUCAAGAAGGACUGGAGCUGUGCUACUUGAGAGUGGUGUUCUACUUCAUUUUCGAGCAAAAAUAAUAGCUGUUGGAAACAGAAAGACAAAAACCAAGCAUGCUGAGUCAGAUGCGGGUCACUGUCUCCUGAAAUGCAGCUGUCAGGAGCUGGUUUCCAGGUUUGGAAAAGAAACAUUGCUGGGGAGGAAUCCAAUGAAUUUAUUAAUGAGCUGGUGUUGUCAGUGCACGUUCAAACUCCUGUUCAUCAUUUUGUGGCAUGACUGACAAAACAGCCUGCCUGUCCUGGGCACAUACUGAACAGAUGAGUGCUUCCAUUCGUCUAAGAAGUGAAAAGCUGCUGAAGGACAGCUGGAUAUUUGGUGCCAACUGGAAAUUCCUGAUUUCAGAGAACAGCCCUGGUUCAGGAAAGAAACCAGCCAAGAAGCUCUACUAUAAAUUAAAAUGUGAGCUCCUAGAAACCAUUUCCUGAUGGGACUCAGGUACUUUACCUUUGCCAUUCCUGUAAAACAUCAGCUGCAUACAUCAGACUGAUGGCGUCAGGUGGUUUUCCAUAAAAAUCCUGUCUGUGCUG